UACGAAGGGGGGCUAGCGUUGUUCGGAAUUACUGGGCGUAAAGCGUGCGCAGGCGGCUUCUCAAGUCAGGGGUGAAAGCCCAGAGCUCAACUCUGGAAUUGCCUUUGAGACUGAGUGGCUUGAGUACGAGAGAGGUGAGUGGAAUUCCCAGUGUAGAGGUGAAAUUCGUAGAUAUUAGGAAGAACACCAGUGGCGAAGGCGGCUCACUGGUCCGGUACUGACGCUGAGGUGCGAAAGCGUGGGGAGCAAACAGG
rnacentral:rRNA from 1 species